rnacentral:lncRNA from 1 species
GACAGGCUCAGGUUUCGGAGAAGCAGCUGCCGUUUCAGCAAGGGCAGUAGCUGCUACCUGAAACAAAACAGAGCGUAACCUGCAUUUCAGCCACUAAUGUUUAAUCUCGCUGCAAACUCAAGCCAGAGUGCAGCUCCGGCACCCAGGCACGUCCCCGUCCCAUCACUCUCACUACACACAUUUCUCAGGAGAGCAGAACAAGUACCCAUCCUUCCCCCGGAAACACAGACCACUUUUUUUUUUUUUUUUUUUUUUUUUUUUCUCGCUAUUGAGCAGGUUUUUGGUCAGUGCAACCCUGCCCAAGAGCCCCAAGCAGCCCGACUGAAGGACGGCCAGGUUAAAAAGAACAUGCUUGAGUAAAACAAAACCAGAGGCCAAUUCUCACGUAAAAGUUAGCUUCACAGCAUAAUGUGGCAGCUUCGCGUCUUCCAAAUCCCCUCCCGGAAGCCCGCCACGCGGCAGAGGGACAUGAACACCUGAAAUUCCCACUAAAACCCUCCUCCACCUGUGGAAAAAAGUGGAAGAGAGACGCUAACUUUCCACAUUGAAGCCCAUCAGUGUUUCCAAGAACCUGAAUAUUGCAGCGGUGCCUUUGGCGUUUUCAAAAGACACUGGUAGAAGUACAGGGCAAGGGUUUUCAAAGUUGACUACUGUACCUCAGCAUUUGGCUGCCACCUGCAAAGGUACCUUUGAACCGUCUUCCUCCAAUGACUCUUCCAAUGAUCGAACUGCUGUCUGGUCUCGUCAAGAUCUCCCUGAACUUUCCCUUUUGAACUGCUCCAAUAACUCACCGAGGAACACUGCCACAUAGCUUAGGUGCUAUAGGAAAAACAAAAGGACCUGUAGCUUUCGCCUAUAAUCUUYUGCGGUCAGUUUAUACUGUAGAAUUUUGUACUUCUUCUCCAGCCAACUUCCUACCAUAGGCUAACACAGAUUUCCCACAGCCUAAACACAUUUCAGCUAUAGUGCAGGCACAUGGAUCUUAUCUUGCCCCCCCACCCCGAGCUCUUAUGCUUCAUUAUAAACAUGACUGGUAGGACUGAGCCUGAAUUUUAGCCAAGUUAGAGCACAUAUGGAAAAUACAUUAUAAAAAGAAUUAACAGUUUCCUUUAAAAAAAAUGUUUAAGAAGACUUAUGCAAAGGCAGAGCUCCCUCCUUGCCUGGGAUAUUGUAUCUGCAGGAGGACAUGCUCCAGGGGCCUCUCUGGACUGACACGGGACGGCAUUUAGAGAAGGAAGAUCCAGCCAAAGGAGGAGUCAGAGCCUGUCCAGAGCAUUUCAGUCUAAAAGGCUUGACACAUCUGUUUUUUAUUUUUUUAAUUAAUUUUUAUUGUUUACUGGAUUGAUCUUAAAUCAGCACAGGCCAAGUUGCGAGGAGAGGAAAAAUUUCAAGUGCAACUAGUAAAAAUAUCCAGCCCAAGCGAGGUCUACAGAGAGCUGUGCUGGCGGGGGAGCCCGCUGCCCCCAUGCAGCUCUGGUGACUCUGGGGGGCAGCCAGUGCGGGAGGAAUAGAAGGACAAAAAUCUAUGUAUGUUCGCCGCUCCCAGAAGUAAUAACCUCUGUACAGAAUGGUAACUUUGCCAUUGGGGUGGAAAAUUUAAAGUCUCAAAGAAACAGCACUGAGUUAAGUCAGUUUUUUAACGGAGCCAGCUGGAAAUUCAAGGAAUAAUGGUGGUGUAUGUUGUUCCUGAGCCAUGCAAGGAAACACACCCAUUUUUAUGUAACUCCCUAUCUCUGAAAGCUGACAGACUGCAAAUAAGGCUGAUAAAACAAAGUCCACCGCAUUACAAAGUACAGCCGUCCAAAUGACAGUCAAGUGAGGCCAAGGCUAAAGAGUCCCAGAGGCAAAAAAUCCAUUUCGUAAGAAAGCASUCAGCAUUUACAGGCAUCAGUCGAUUACCAUCUCAGCACAGAGAAGCAAUAAUGACCCCACCUUUCCAUGCUGAGUUUGCCAUCACAAAGAUUUGACUGAAAUUUGGUUAAAGCGGUCCUGCAGGGAGCUUUGCCCAGGCAAAACUUCACCUGCGGGAGGAAGCUGUGCAAUGGCCCGAGCCCCAGAGCUCCUUUUCCUGCCAUUUGGACUUGGCGUCACCGUGAGUUCCUCCUUGGCUUUGCUACUAAAAGCUGAAGCGCUUCUCACCCCCACAGUUCAACACACUCAUCCACCCCUUCCCCUCUCCCAGGCAGGACCAGGUUCUUCCCGGCACAUCUGUGUCCACACACCUCUUCCGCAUGGUUCAUGCAGCUAUUGCUCUACCUAUAUACGCUUGUAUCUGGUUAGGUGUACUUUCUGAACUAGUUUUGGGUUUUUUUUUCUUUUUGAAUAAGCACAGGGCUGCAAAAGUCAAGGUCCUCUUAACGCACCAACACAACUCAGAAGCCAGAAGGGCAUGGGAGGAGUAGAAGAGGAUGUACCAUUAUUUCCCAUUCUCAGACGGGGCGCUGAGCCUUUGGGAUUCAAGGAGUGAUGAUUCUCCACUUAAAAUACAAAAUAUCCAGUGCUCCUGAUUGCAGAAGUACACAAUACAAAACAAAUAUAAGUCUGCCUAAAGCUAUAUGCAGCUGGAAAUAAAAGCUUUAGAAGUGCAAGUAUGCCA